CACUUUUGAGUCAUACUGCCUUGGUGAAGCAUCCCUCUUUCCCAGGAUGGAGGCCCAGCACUCAGCUGCAAGUCCUAUGGAAGACCUUUUCUUCCAGAGGUGGAAUCAACAGACGUGUAAAUGGGAGAGGCCUGUAGUGACAGCAGGUUAAUCAACUUUAGCUCUACCACAUACCAAAGACAAUAUACAGCCCUUAACAUGACUCUUGGUCUAAAAACUGAGGAAAGAGAGAUAACAAAACUUGUGCCUGUAGAGGGAAAAGGGCCACGAGGAAGAAGGCCAUGGGUAACAAUUAAACAGUGCAUGUGUUUUGGUUUAAUCAAAAGUAAA